rnacentral:rRNA from 1 species
AGCGCAGGCGGGAAACUAAGCGGAUCUUAAAAGUGCGGGGCUCAACCCCGUGAUGGGGUCCGAACUGGUUUUCUUGAGUGCAGGGGAGGAAAGCGGAAUUCCCAGUGUAGCGGUGAAAUGCGUAGAUAUAUGGAAGAACACCAGUGGCGAAGGCGGCUGUCUGGUCUGCAACUGACGCUGAGGCUCGAAAGCAUGGGUAGCGAACA